GACGAACGCUGGCGGCGUGCUUAACACAUGCAAGUCGAGCGGUAAGGCCCUUUCGGGGGUACACGAGCGGCGAACGGGUGAGUAACACGUGGGUGACCUGCCCUCAGCUCUGGGAUAAGCCUGGGAAACUGGGUCUAAUACCGGAUAUGACUCCAUGACGCAUGUUGUGGGGUGGAAAGCCUUGUGCGGCUGAGGAUGGGCCCGCGGCCUAUCAGCUUGUUGGUGGGGUGAUGGCCUACCAAGGCGACGACGGGUAGCCGGCCUGAGAGGGCGACCGGCCACACUGGGACUGAGGCACGGCCCAGACUCCUACGGGAGGCAGCAGUGGGGAAUCUUGCGCAAUGGGCGAAAGCCUGACGCAGCGACGCCGCGUGAGGGAUGACGGCCUCGGUU
rnacentral:rRNA from 1 species